GCAUAUCAUAGCGAGAAAAGAACUAACAAGGAUUCCCCUAGUAACUGCGAGUGAAGCGGGAAGAGCUCAAAUUUAAAAUCUGGCAGUGUCUCGCUGUCCGAGUUGUAGUCUGGAGAAGCGUUUUCUGUGCUGGACCGUGUACAAGUCUCUUGGAAUAGAGCGUCAUAGAGGGUGAGAAUCCCGUCUUUGACACGGACUACCAGUGCUUUGUGAUGCGCUCUCAAAGAGUCGAGUUGUUUGGGAAUGCAGCUCAAAAUGGGUGGUAAAUUCCAUCUAAAGCUAAAUAUUGGCGAGAGACCGAUAGCGAACAAGUACCGUGAGGGAAAGAUGAAAAGCACUUUGGAAAGAGAGUUAAACAGUACGUGAAAUUGCUGAAAGGGAAACGCUUGAAGUCAGUCACGUUGGUCAGAACUCAGCCUGGCUUUUUUGCUUGGUGCACUUUCUGAUCAACGGGCCAGCAUCAAUUUUGACCAUUGGAAAAAUUCUCUAGGAAGGUGGCUCUCUCGGGAGUGUUAUAGCCUGGGGUUGUAUGCAGUGGUUGGGAUUGAGGAACUCAGCACGCCUUUAUGGUCGGGGUUCGCCCACGUUCGUGCUUAGGAUGCUGGCGUAAUGGCUUUAAACGACCCGUCUUGAAACACGGACCAAGGAGUCUAACAUGCCUGCGAGUGUUUGGGUGGAAAACCCGAGCGCGCAAUGAAAGUGAAAGUUGGGAUCUCUGUCGUGGAGAGCACCGACGCCCAUACCAGACCUUCUGUGACGGAUAUGCGGUUGAGCAUGUAUGUUGGGACCCGAAAGAUGGUGAACUAUGCCUGAAUAGGGUGAAGCCAGAGGAAACUCUGGUGGAGGCUCGUAGCGAUUCUGACGUGCAAAUCGAUCGUCAAAUUUGGGUAUAGGGGCGAAAGACUAAUCGAGCAUCUAGUAGCUGGUCUUGCGA
rnacentral:rRNA from 1 species